rnacentral:lncRNA from 1 species
CUAAAAUAAAACUUCUAAAAAGUGACUGCAACAAGUAAACCUUCUCCUGAGAAAGUACAUGCACAGAUAGAAGACACUUGCCAAGUCCAGGCAUUUUUAUUGUGUAGAUUGAAAUACCAGUACACUAUUCUGAAUUUUUAUAUAAGAUGAGGUUGGGAAGGUGUACUAGUAUAUAAUUUAUCUUAAUUUUUCUAACUUUUUAUGGAUAAUCUUUCUAUUCAUAUCACAUAAAGAAAUGCGUUGAAGCAUUUUGUAUCUGUUUUGAUUUAGUACCCUUGCCUUUUUCAUCAAAGGAAUUUUUCAAAUCAUUCACUCUAACAUUAGUCUCAUAUUUUCACUGUGAUAAUGAAUACUUGAAAUAGUUUUGUAAGGCUGUCAUUUAGUUCAGUAUUUAGUGAAAGGUCAGCUACUCUUAUUAGGAGAAAAUAGUUUAUUGGCCUUCUUUCCUAGUAAGUAUAAUUUCUUGCAGAAGCAGAAUUUUAAUGUCAGCGUCACAGCUCAUCUUCUACUCUACCGAUCUGACAUCUGAAGUCUGCUCAGUGCUACACAGUUUCAUCACUUCAGAGAUGUGCAUCUCUUUUGGAAUUAGUGAUUUGGUGCACAACAUUCAGAAAUUCUACCUUCGGUCUUAAAACAGCUCCAAGGAUGUAGAUCCAGCCUGGAAGAGGGUGUGUUCUGCUCUCUACAUGGCCCUGGUCAGGAAGCACAUUUUAAUUUAGAAUCCUAAGUCCAAACCCUUAGCAAACCCUUGUUACCAAACAGACCACUUACAAGUCGAACAAAAUUUAUCUAAGCAAUCCAGUACUCUCUUAUAUCUAAAGGCAGUCUGAUCUCUGCCCUUUAAAUCCACCGUACUUAUUCUUAUGCCUGAAAUUUAUCACUGCAACCCCAUUUUAACCCAAAGUGUUCAGGUUAGAGACACCUGACUCUUUGAAGGGGAAACACUCCAUUAGGUCCAGUGAGGGGACCUCCAAUCCAACAUGAGUGCGUUUUAGUUUUGUGCUCCACCUGCAUCAGGGCCACUGGCUGAUAGUGCAGUGCUCUAAUCUGACUUGCCUCCACACACCAAAGUCAGAAGCAGCAAUUCUUUUUUUUUUUUUCUUAGUUUUUACUGUUUCCUGAUCUCCAGCACAAAACUGAAUGAACAAAUCUACAGUUAACCGAAAAUGCCACUUAUAACUUGGCAGAUUAAAUGACUCAUUGCUUGUAAACCUUGCCAGUCCCACUGAACAGGUAUCGUCCCUACCACAGAGCAGAAGCCAAAAGGUCUUAUUUUAAAAGCUGGAAAUGACUGCACUUCAGCAAUAGCAAGCCACAGGUUGGGAACAUGAAAAUAUGUAGCAGGCCAUGCCUGAAAUUGGACCUUCCUCACAUUAGUGAAAGUGGCCUGAGACCCUGGAGGAAGAGGGGAAAAUGACAGCCUCAGAAGCUCCUUUGUGAUGAAUUACCAACACUAAGCCAGAAAUCAUGACUAGUUAAAAUACGUGGUUCUCAUCUCACUAAAUGGGAGAGGCAGGCAGUGGUAUGAGUAACCUUACUUUGAAGACAAAGCUUGUUCUGGUAGAACGGUCCAGCUGAGAAAUGCCUUAGCCUCUUCCUCAAACUGAGGCUCUCCAUCUGUAACUGAAAUACAAGAUAAAUAUUUCUUUUGGCUGUAUGUCCUCUUUAAAAAAGAACUGCCUCCUGUUUCUUUAGUAACAAUUUUUAAGAAAUUGUUAUAUUGGAUUUUGCUAUAGAAGAAUGAGCACUGGGGUUCAGCAUCUGGUAUAAUUUAUUUCCACAUGUUCUGUUAGCUCCGUCAGAGCCCAUGAAUAUUUGAUGUGAAGAUGUUGGGUGAUUUUCUUUUUUCCCAUCUCAUUUUGGUAUAUCUUUACUCUGAACACAUAUGCAUGCUCUUCUUAACCUCUAGUCUGAAAUAAUUACAGAGGAGUUUGGUUGUUUUUUUUGUUUUGUUUUGUUUUGUUUUUAAUGGAGGGCAAAAUGCUUGUUAGCAACCAAAAAAAAUCAAAGCUGAACAAGCUGCUAAAGUAGGUUUGUGGUGAAAAAGUUGCAAAAUAUAAUUAACUGCUACUGCUUUCCAAGUAAUUGUAUUACUAGUUCCUGUAUAAAAGAAUGAUUAUUGCUUUCCUUGUAAAAAUAAAAUUUUCCUGCAGUACAAUUAAGUAUCGAUUUCUCAGAAACUGUCCCUAUUAAUUUUUCUUUUCACAUUAUUUCCAUAUGUUGUCCAAAACGAAAAUUAUUGAUGUGUUCAAUCUGUGAGAUUGCAUAUUCCUGGUAAAAUAUUUUUGUACAUAUAAGGAAAUAAAUAUUUAAUAUUGGGAAAAUGUGUUUCAUUUAUAGGUAGAACUAAAGCUUAGAGUACAGAAGGUAUCAGAUUAGCUUUGGCAAUUUUUAACUAUUUUUUAACUUUUUUUAAAAAUUGUAAUUGAUUUAAAAUGUCAUGCUAGUUUCAGGCAUACAGCACAGUGAAUAUAUAUGUGUGUAUAUAUAUAUAUGAGAUAUAUCACUGAUAUAUCUAUGUCACACACACAUACACUUUUUGAGAUUCUUUUCUCUUAUAGGUUAUUACAAAAUAUUGAGGCAAUUUUUUUUCAAUGCUACUAGUCUUUGUUAA